rnacentral:rRNA from 1 species
AUUGAACGCUAGCGGCAUGCCUAACACAUGCAAGUCGUACGGCAGCACGAGGAGCUUGCUCCUUGGUGGCGAGUGGCGGACGGGUGAGUAACGCGUAGGAAUCUGCCUUGUAGCGGGGGACAACCCGGGGAAACUCGGGCUAAUACCGCAUAAUGUCUUCGGACCAAAGUUGGGGACCUUCGGGCCUAACACUACAAGAUGAGCCUGCGUUGGAUUAGCUAGUUGGUGGGGUAAAGGCCUACCAAGGCAACGAUCCAUAGCUGGUCUGAGAGGACGACCAGCCACACUGGGACUGAGACACGGCCCAGACUCCUACGGGAGGCAGCAGUGGGGAAUAUUGGACAAUGGGCGAAAGCCUGAUCCAGCAAUGCCGCGUGUGUGAAGAAGGCCUUCGGGUUGUAAAGCACUUUCGUUGGGGAAGAAAAAGCCAAAGUUAAUAUCUUUGGAAAUUGACGUUACCCAAAGAAGAAGCACUGGCUAACUCUGUGCCAGCCGCCGCGGUAA